GCUGGGUGUGGUGGCUCACACCUGUAAUCCCAACACUUUGGGAAGCUGAGAUGGGAGGAUCACUUGAGCCCAGGAGUUCAAGACCAGCCUGGCCAACAUGGUGAAACCCCAUCUCUA
ensembl:misc_RNA Metazoa_SRP Metazoan signal recognition particle RNA